rnacentral:lncRNA from 1 species
CUUUUAGCUAAAUUGUAUCAAAUUUUUCUGUAAAAAUUUAAUUUUUUUACUUUUUCUUUUAUUAUUUAAAAAAUUUAUAUAUUUUUUUUUUAUAAAAUAAAAAAUAUUCACGGAGGAGUACGAUGUGAACUGUGAUGAUAAAAUUAUCAUUUUGUCCCUCACCAUUUUCGUUUCCUCUUUCAUCUUGCUCAUCCGCCUUCUCGAUCGGCUGUGAUUCCUCUCCAUUUUCUUCUCCACCUGCUCCUCUUCUCCUCAUGCACUCUCGUCGCCCCUCCAUUUCGGCGACAGUAGGGAGGAAAUCGAGGUGGGUGUGGAUGGAGAGGUGGGUAAGGGCAACGAAGGCGAAGGCGAGGUGGCGGAGGAGGACGAGGAGGUGUUUGUGGACGCGAACGAAGAUGUGAGCCAGACCGAGGCAGUGGAGGAGGGCGAGGCGGCGAGACAGCGAGGUGGAAGAGGGUGAAGCGCAGUAGAGUAGGCGGAUGAUAUUUUUGGCAUAAAAAAAUAUUUUAUAAUGGAAUCCUAACGGAUCACUAAUGAUAGGAGAUGAAAUUAAUAUUUUUUAUUUUACAAGAAGGCAAAAUGUAAGUUUUUAAAUGACAAAAAAAAGGGGUAAAAAAUUAAAUUUUGACAUGAAAAUUUUCUGUAAUUUAGCCUUUCUUUUUUUUAGUU